rnacentral:rRNA from 1 species
UCCAGAGGGUGCGAGCGUUGUCCGGAAUCACUGGGCGUAAAGGGCGCGUAGGUGGUUGGGUAAGCGUGUGGUGAAAGCCCGGGGCUCAACCCCGGGUCGGCCAUGCGAACUGCCCGACUGGAGCACGGUAGAGGCCAAUGGAAUUCCGGGUGUAGCGGUGGAAUGCGUAGAGAUCCGGAAGAACACCGGUGGCGAAGGCGGUUGGCUGGGCCGUGGCUGACACUGAGGCGCGACAGCGUGGGGAGCAAACAGG